AAAGAACACAUCGCUCUGUAUGUUUUUUACUUCGGUUUGAAGUAUUUACAUAGUAACCAGUAGAUUUCUGGUAAACGUGGGGUUUCAGACAUGCUGCUUGAUAGAAUGUGACUCGCGUUGCGUCUCUGCC